UUAGAUGUUCCCUGCUUUUAACUGAAUGGCUUUCUGCACUAUUCUUAUACCAUAAAUUGCUUUGAGUGUGGACUCGAAAAAUCACAAAUCAAACACAGAACCAAAAAAAUUUAUUACUUUCCAUAGGAAAACAAUUCUUUUUUAGUAGAAAUCGGUAAAUUUGUUAUUUCCUGAAAAUAUAAUUUAUACUUAGAAAAUAAAUUCUCACUAUUUUCUGGCAGAAUAAAAAUAUUGAAAACUUGUAUGGCUUGUUGUUAAUAGAUCUAGCAGUGCCGUCUAUUUAUAGGAAGAGAUAUGAGAAUCUUGGUC
rnacentral:lncRNA from 1 species